GCCAAACUGAAUCUUUGGCAGUGCAGCUGGUUCAGGAACCAAGGGGUAGAACAGGCCAGACCCACCUGCCGAAAGUGUUGGUUACCAAGUCUCGGGUCAAUUCCCAGUCAAGUCAAGAGGGAACAAAGUUAAUCUCUCAGCAUAAAGAAAUAAGAGAUUUACAACGCCUUAAAUGUACCACAAAGCCCUUGAGAGAAAAGCUGCUACCCAGGGACGCAUCGGUGUUUGAGAUGUCUGGCUACAUGGUCCCCUAGGAUCACAAAGCACGCAUCUAAAACAGGUGACGCUAUCAGUCAUUCUUCUGCUGCUGUGACUAAACACCAUGACAGAAACAACUAAUAAAGAGUUAAUUUUAACUGGCGGGUCCAGUGGGGUAAGAGUCCAUCAGAGGCGGGGCAUGGCAGCUCGUGGUAUAACUGCCGAAGCAGGGAGCCACGCGCCCACACCUGAAACAGCAAGCUCAAAGCCGACAGAACAAACAGGAAGCGGUAGAGGCUUUUGACCCUCAAAACCCACCCCUAGCAACUUACCCCUUCCAGCAAGGCUGCACCCCUAAAACUCUCCAGCCAGCUCACCAACUAGGGACCAAGUGCUCAAAUGCCUGAGAUUGCAGGAGCGUUUCCUAUUAAGUCACCACAGAGGGCAAAAAGGUGGCGCCAUUAUAAUCCCAGCACUUGAAGGAAUGAAGAUGAUUGAGUUCAAGGCCAGUCUGGGUUACAGGGAGUCUGCCCUUCCCAUCCCUUGGCUUAAGAUGACAAUACUGGUUAGGUUUUAGAGAGUUUCUGUGCCACAUGGCACCAAGUGUAUUGCACACACACAAAUAAGUUGAAAGACUGGAUCUCGUCUCGUGUUCUUACUACAAAUAAAACACAGAGCAGUUGUUGGAAUCUGUUCCUAAACAACACGUCCAUCUCCACAGAGAAGAAGCAUGGCGGUCCGGGAAGCUGGACCAGCGGACUGCUGAUUUGCCUUCUCAUGGGCUGCUAAUUGCUAAUUGCUGUGUUGAGGAGGAGUAAAAUCAUGCUUGCCCUUCAUCCGUAGUGAUGGGAAUGGAAGCCCCUGCAGUCAGCAUGGAUACAACGAGUUUGCAGAGGGGGGAUCUGUAAGAGACCCUGCCGGUGGUCGCGGCAGGUAGGGAAAUAAGCCACAAAGAAGUGAGCAUGCGCAAAGAAGUGAGCCUGAAAACCUUUCAGAUUGACGUCAUCAACCUGGAUCUAACUGCAAGGAGUCUGGUGCCAGGCAGUUCGUUGUCGGCCUGUUUAAAACACAGCACAGUUUGGAAGACAGUUUCCUGGUGUGAUACAAUCCCCAGCGCACACGGAAGUGUAAUUACAUUAAAUUUAACUCAGGGUA